UUGCUACGAACUAAGCCCACUGUGCUCCUUCCCCGUGGGACUCUAGCGUGCAAUACUGCAGACAGCAGCCUCCUCCGUACUUUUUGCAGCCUGCUGCCUGUAUGGGUUGCUCUAAGGCAGUUUUCAUCC